rnacentral:lncRNA from 1 species
AAGUUUUUGUAUUUUUAGUAGAGACAGGGUUUCAGGAUGUUAGCCAGGAUGGUCUCGAUCUCCUGACCUCGUGAUCCGCCCGCCUCGGCCUCCCAAAGUGCUGGGAUUACAGGCAUGAGCCACCACGCCAGGCCUAAUAAAGGACAAUUUUUAAUAGCCACUGGACUAUUUAAAUUAUCUAUUCUUCUGUCAGUUUCUUUUACCAUCAGAGGAUACAGCAGCAAGGUGCCAUCCUAGAAGCAGAGAGCAGACCCUUACCAGACAACCAACCAGCUGGUGCCACGAUCUUGGACUUCUCAGCCUCCAGAACUCAACAACAAGAAACAAAUUUAUUAGCUAACCUAACCACUAAUGAGGCAAGUGGCAAUUCUAAGGACUUUCAAAACAGCAAAGUAGGAGCAGCUGCUACCUCUAGGGAUGUGGGAAGCAAUUGUCCAAUUAUUAGUGAAAUUGUCAUUUCAUGCUAUCGGCUAUUUGAAAUUCCUCCUCUAAUUUCAGAUUAACUCACUGAAAUUGACAUCGGCCAGUCUGAAUUUCAAGAAAUUACCUGCUGGAGACAAGAGGGAUCUCUUCUUCAGAUUUGCAGUCUGGGGAAGACAGCCUCUAUUGUACUUUAGAACCUGAGAUAUGGUGGUGGAGGGAGCCCUGGGUCAGUAGGAGUGGGGUCGGAGUGGUAAGAUUCACCCUUAGGUUAGUAUUGACGUAAGGUGACGAGGAGCUGUAGACAAAAGAUUGUAACCAUAAGAACUUCAUAGUUUUUGUAUUUUCACUGAGUUUAUAUUUGGUGUGUUUUUUGUCUUUUCUUUAUGAUUAUCAAUAAAACGCUUGAAACGAGAUGAGUUUGGGGAAUAAUUUUUGGGAAUACCACAAAAGACACUUUUGUGAUGGAAAUCCUUAAAAACACACAAUCCAUUACCUCAUUGGGUUCAAAAGGCAAUUGUGAACUACUGUGGAGUUUGGAAAGAAGCAAUGAGGUAAUCAAGGAUACUGUUGAAAAUCUAGCUUAUCCUAUGGAUGGAAGGAAAUUGAAACUAAUGGAGGGGAGGCUGGUAAAACAAUAGGGUUUGAGACAAUUCUGUGGCAUUAGAAAUGAAAGAGGAAGGUGAAUCCAGGAGACGGAGCUUGCAGUAAGCUGAGAUCGCGCCACUGCACUCCAGCCUGGGCGACAGAGCAAGACUCCAUAUCAAAAAAAAAAAAGAAAGAAAGAAAGAAAAGAAAGAGGAAGUAAUAAUCUGUGAAAUUUUUCCUUAGGAACUUAUUGGCAAUUUAAAAAAUGAAUUUGUUAAGCCAUGCUGGUUCUGACCCAAAAGCCAUUCCCCAGCCUUCCUCACUCCCCUCUCUACUGGCAGAGAUUGUCUCUCAUUUUACAAGCUGAAAAUGCCAGAUGUUUGCUUUUACAGUCUUCCUUACACCCAGAGCAUGUGCAUAUGUUUAAACGGUCAAGAAGUCAUAACAUGGGUGUCUGGGAAAGCUUUUAUCCCACAAAAACAACACUUCACUCAAAAAACAAACCAAACAAAGAAAAAUUCUCCUUCCUGUCAUUGGAUGUGAGGCCCAGACCUCUAGUAACCAUUUUGUGACCACAAAGCAACAAGCCUGAGGAACAGUCCUACACGCUGAGCAACAGGCAGAAAUAUUGCCAUCGCUGAGUUGCAGAAACAAAUCUAGAAACGUUUUGCUUCUGUAAUUAUUUUUAUGGGAGAUUACAAGUGGGUUUACUGUUCACUUUUUAAAUCUUAUUUCUCUAUGAUGUGUAGCUUGGGUAAAUUUUACCUUAAAUCCACUUUUUUAUGUAAGGUAACAUAUUUGUGGGUUUCAAGGAUUAAGAUGUGGGCAUACAUGGAAGCCAUUAUUUUGCCCACCACAGGUGAAAAAGGGAGUGUUAUUCUUAAAUCAUUUGGAAGGACCUCUGUGUAAAUGCAAAAGCCAGACAAGAAAAUGCUGUCAUUCUUUUGAUAUGGACUCUAAUUUCCAAUUCAUGGUUGUCUGCUUCCUUUUUAGAGUAUUAUUUAUCCUCCUAAUAAAAAGAAAGUGAAAUUUCCC